rnacentral:ncRNA from 2 species
UUGUGUCGCUAUGCGCCGUGCUAGGCUAGGUAGCCUGCAUGGGGAAAGUUCGGUGAAAAACCGGCGCUGUCCCGCAACUGUGAUGGCAAUCUCUAACAAAGUUUCUUCAAUAUAGUUGCUUUCUUUUGCCUGAGCCAGAAUGCCUGUGCGGGUUUUCGCUACACU